rnacentral:rRNA from 1 species
GACGAACGCUGGCGGCGUGCUUAACACAUGCAAGUCGAACGGUGAAGCCCUUCGGGGUGGAUCAGUGGCGAACGGGUGAGUAACACGUGGGCAAUCUGCCCUGCAUUCUGGGACAAGCCUUGGAAACGAGGUCUAAUACCGGAUACGACGCAUCUCCGCAUGGGGUGUGCGUGGAAAGCUCCGGCGAUGCAGGAUGAGCCCGCGGCCUAUCAGCUUGUUGGUGGGGUAAUGGCCUACCAAGGCGACGACGGGUAGCCGGCCUGAGAGGGCGACCGGC